rnacentral:rRNA from 1 species
UGGGAGAGGUAGACGGUACUCGGUAGGAAGGGGUAAAAUCCUUUGAUCUAUUGAUGACCACCUGUGGCGAAGGCGGUCUACCAGAACACGUUCGACGGUGAGGGAUGAAAGCUGGGGGAGCAAACCGGAUUAGAUACCCGGGUAGUCCCAGCUGUAAACGAUGCAAACUCGAUGAUGCGUUGGCUUGUUGCUAGCGCAGUGUCGCAGGGAAGCCGUUAAGUUUGCCGCCUGGGAAGUACGUACGCAAGUAUGAAACUUAAAGGAAUUGGCGGGGGAGCACCACAAGGGGUGAAGCCUGCGGUUCAAUUGGAGUCAACGCCUGAAACCUUACCCGGAGAGACAGCAGAAUGAAGGUCAAGCUGAAGACUUUACCAGACAAGCUGAGAGGUGGUGCAUGGCCGUCGCCAGCUCGUGCCGUGAGAUGUCCUGUUAAGUCAGGUAACGAGCGAGAUCCCUGCCUCUAGUUGCCACUAUUACACCCUGGUGUAGUAGGGCGAAUUAGGGGGACCGCCGCAGUUAAUGCGGAGGAAGGAAGGGGCCACGGCAGGUCAGUAUGCCCCGAAACUCUGGGGCCACACGCGGGCUGCAAUGGUAACGACAAUGAGUUCCAAAAUCGAAAGAU